CAAAGUGUAGCUUAAACUAAAGCAUCUGGCCUACACCCAGAAGAUCUCACCACAAUUGAUCACUUUGA
rnacentral:tRNA from 1 species